GGGCAAGUGGUCUAGGGGUAUGAUAUCUCAUUCGCAUAAAGUGUUGGUUAACACCAACUACUCAAAUUGAGUCUUGAGAUGGUCCGGGGUUCAAUUCCCCGCUUGUCCA